rnacentral:rRNA from 1 species
UACAGAGGGUGCGAGCGUUGCUCGGAAUCACUGGGCGUAAAGGGUGCGUAGGCGGGUCUUUAAGUCAGGGGUGAAAUCCUGGAGCUCAACUCCAGAACUGCCUUUGAUACUGAGGAUCUUGAGUACGGGAGAGGUGAGUGGAACUGCGAGUGUAGAGGUGAAAAUUCGUAGAUAUUCGCAAAGAACACCAGUGGCGAAGGCGGCUCACUGGCCCGUAAUGACGCUGAGGCAC